rnacentral:rRNA from 1 species
CUUAGUAGAGCGGCGCACGGGUGCGUAACACGUGGAUAAUCUGCCUGGAUGCCUGGGAUAACCAGUCGAAAGAUUGGCUAAUACCGGAUAAGCCCACGGUCUCCUCGGAGACUGAGGGAAAAGGUGGCCUCUGUAUACAAGCUAUCACAACCAGAUGAGUCCGCGGCCCAUCAGCUAGUUGGCGGGGUAAUGGCCCACCAAGGCAACGACGGGUAGCUGGUCUGAGAGGACGAUCAGCCACACUGGAACUGAGACACGGUCCAGACUCCUACGGGAGGCAGCAGUGGGGAAUUUUGCGCAAUGGGCGAAAGCCUGACGCAGCAACGCCGCGUGUGUGAUGAAGGUCUUUGGAUUGUAAAGCACUUUCGACCGGGACGAAACCGUAAAGCCUAAUACGCUUUGCCUUGACGGUACCGGGAGAAGAAGCACCGGCUAACUCUGUGCCAGCAGCCGCGGUAAUACAGAGGGUGCAAGCGUUGUUCGGAAUUAUUGGGCGUAAAGCGCGUGUAGGCGGCUUUGCAAGUCGGGUGUGAAAGCCCUCAGCUCAACUGAGGAAGUGCGCCCGAAACUGCAGAGCUUGAGUGCCGGAGAGGGUGGCGGAAUUCCCCAAGUAGAGGUGAAAUUCGUAGAUAUGGGGAGGAACACCGGUGGCGAAGGCGGCCACCUGGACGGUAACUGACGCUGAGACGCGAAAGCGUGGGUAGCAAACAGGAUUAGAUACCCUGGUAGUCCACGCCGUAAACGAUGAGAACUAGGUGUCGUGGGAGUUGACCCCCGCGGUGCCGUAGCUAACGCAUUAA